rnacentral:rRNA from 1 species
UGAGGAAUUUUCCACAAUGGGCGCAAGCCUGAUGGAGCAAUACCGCGUGAGGGAUGAAGGCCUUCGGGUCGUAAACCUCUUUUAAAUAGGAAGAUUAUGACGGUACUAUUUGAAUAAGCACCGGCUAACUACGUGCCAGCAGCCGCGGUAAUACGUAGGGUGCAAGCGUUAUCCGGAAUUACUGGGCGUAAAGCGUGUGUAGGUGGUUUGUUAAGUUAAAUGUUAAAUCCUCAGGCUCAACUUGAGGGCUGCAUUUAAUACUGGCAAACUUGAGGGCGGUAGAGGUGAGUAGAAUUAGUGGUGUAGCGGUAAUAUGCGUAGAUAUCACUAGGAAUACCAAUGGCGAAGGCAGCUCACUGGUCCGUACCUGACACUGAGACACGAAAGCGUGGGGAGCGAACG